UGUUCUAUCGAGCUCCUUCACCAAAAGAACUCAGUGGUGCUGAUUGACACGACAGUUACAGUUGUGGAGUGUCAUUUUUAUACCUCACCACUAAACCUAUUUUCAAAAUGCCAAAUGGGAUUACAGGAUUGUGAGGCAGUGCAGAAGUUAAAAGAGGUCUGUAAUAAAUCCUAACACCGGAUAAGGAGGCUAUGACCCUAUGUAAUUUGCUCCACUUUCCAGGUCCGGCGGAAUGCUCUUAAUCCUUAUUUAAGGAUAGGUAUUACAUUGAGCCAAAAGGGCUCAUCAACACUAAAGUUAUUCUAAACAUGCAAAUAAAAGCUGGAAUCUUGAGGAUUUUUUAAAAUUAUGUCUAUUAAGUUUAUUAUAAGCAUAUUAUAGGCUACUUUGAGAACAUGAAUGCAUGUGAUGAUGUGUUUGGACAAAUGAGAGGGCAACAGAUACAGUACUGUAUGAAUGCAUUCUUCAAAUCUAGACAAGGACAAAGUGCACAUGUGUGUUCUCAUGUGACUUGUGCCGUACGUGUCCUGAGACAUAUCUUGUGUUACCACUCUAUAUAAAGUUUUUUUUCUAUCUUAAUUUUAAUAAAAAGGACAGGAAAGUGUCAGUCUUUCCUCACUUUCUCGCCUUGAUCACUUAAAUACAUUGUGUUGAAUAUUUAUAUCUUGUAUUACUACUCUAUGUAAACAGUUUUUUUCUAUUCUAAAAAUGUUUUAUUCUUCGAACCUUAACCUGCCAGCUCUGAUUGAGCCUGUGUGUGAAUAGAACAGGUCAUUGAAUUCACAGAGAGUGAGUGGGCGUGUUGAUGACAUUUGUAUCAUGCGACUGGCACAACGGGGGGCCUUUCUCAAUACCAAGUAUGUCAAGUUCGGACGUAAAUUCUUAGAUAUUAGGACUUGGCAAGUCCAACUCGGGAGUACAAACUUCCAAGGACAGGAGGAUGCAGUAUAAUCAUUCUUUGGAAUUGGAACAGCAGCAGCUCAGCUCAGCUCUCAACCACAACCACCAGAUUGAAAAAAGCCUCGGAUGCUGUAAACAAAACGUUACUUUUUGCAUCAUGUCCUGUCUAGUGCACACUCUCCCCAGGUGCCAACCCUUGCCAAAACUCUGGUUGACAUCUGACACGGAAGGUUAUGUGCUACUUAUGUGAAAGGACAACUCUGGACAAUGAUUCUCCGGACAUUGUCCAGAAUCCAAAUGAGAAAAUGGCUUACGAUAAUGUAUCUUGUGUAAUUGAACAGAGGUCAUUUAUAUAAAAAAAGAAUCAUUGUCCCAGUCAAAGGAAGACAGAUAAUGACUGAACCAACCAAACCAAGUGAUAAAAUGAUUAUACUGGUUUGGCCACACCGGUGGUGGUAGACUGGAGAUGCAAUACCAUUAUUAUAAUACCUGUGUAAAUACUGUUAACUACUAUCUGACUAACUGUUUCUGUUGUGUUUUGGCGUUAUGUGACUAUGUGAACUGAAAUAUUCGGUUUUACUGAUGAUGAGCCAAUUUUGAAUUUACUGCAAGACAAAUCUACAUGUACAUUCAUACUGUAUUCAUUCAUACCUUCAGUUUAUGUUACAGAGAGGCUGACUUCUGCUAAUACUGGCUAAUAGACAUCCAUGCUAUGACUGAUAGAAAUGCAACAUAAUGCAGAAUUUACACCAAAGUAACUUCAAUUCACUUCAGGAUGUGAGAAAUGUGUGAAGAUAUGCACCAUGUUAAGAUGACUACAUGAUAGGAAUCAAUUCAUUUCUUCUUUUAUUUCUAUUUAAUUUUCUUAAUAAAUCUGUAUCUCGAUUUGUCAACAGCACAUGAAUAAAUGUGUGGUCUAAAAGAAAUGUUUGAUAAUUAAACUGAUGACUUUGACAAAAAGUCAUCAGAUAAGACUGUUCAGCCUUAGCACACUGAGUGUGUCACAGUUGGCACCCGCAUUACCUGCCUUAUCACUAAACAAAUUAUGCGGAGUACUUAGUACACUAUCCGGUGUAAAGGUCAUCUCACCCAGCCUGAAAUCUAGUUUCCCUAAUUUAAGGCUGUAACCAUUUAUAAAAUAAGAUACUAUAAUUAAGUUAAGCCGCGGAUGAGUCCACACAUCCAAACAAGCUCAUACUGUCCAUCCACUUAAUGAUGCUAAGAAUAUCGCGGAGCAGAAAUUCUACAUUCUCCUGUCCAUCUGGAGCAGGGGUGGUAGAUCUCUACAUGUUUGGCCUGAUCUGCACUAGAUCUACCAACAGUGGUCUACCAUUGUUCUGGACCAAGAAACUACAGCAACCUCUCUGCUACAUCCUGAUCUGUGGUUGGACAGAUGAUGAGCUGUUUUGGAUUCACCAUCCUACUCAAUGAACUGCCUGUACUACCGAGGGAUUUGUGGCCACACUUGGAGGUAAAGUGCAAAGGAAAAUAUCAGAGACGGCCUUUGCAUAUUUGGAGAUUCUCAUUUCCAAAAUCACUGGGUUAAAAAGUGAUCCAGUGUGGAUUAAUAUUGAUAUAAUGGGAUGUGUUGUGUUAGUGUUAUUUAUCAUAUUACUUUUGAGUUACUGGAUCAAAACAACCCCUUGUCUUGGGUGAUUCACUACCCAUAGGCACUGGGUAAAGAAGGCAGUUUGCCGAAAUGUUGAUCAUUUGUUGAAAUAAAUACAUCUGAGAUAUGAGUGUGCAGCUUUUCCAUUUUGGCCUACGGUCCAGCACCUCAAUAGAAUAGCUGUAUAUUUUAUCUCAAGUUUUCACUGGGUAAAGUUAACCCAGUAUUGCAUUGCUGCCACACUAGUGUUGACCGACACUAGGUCCGUUUUUAACUCAGUGACUUUUAGUAUGGUUGAAGUUUUCUUUGCGUGUUAAUCCAUACUGCUGCGAAAAGUCCUUUAAUGUAUUAUGAACAUGUUUUUAUGAGAGACAUUAGUUGUCUCCACUCUAUCUUGCCAUUACAUUCAGUGAAGGUGAAACAAAAAAAUACUUCUGAAAAAAAAUGUUGGGAUAAACCAGUUAAUUUGUUUUGAGGAUCAGUUGCAGAUUAGCUGAAGUAAACAGUGACUGUUGAGAAACAGUCACACAUCUUAGAAUGCAAUGGACUGAGGGAUCCAUUCUACCUAACAGGGACUACUUAAUCAUCUAUGCAUAAUUUCAUAGGAGAAAAAGCUACUUCACUAUAUGGCACUAUAUGCAAAAAAUAUGUUUCUCUGUUAAACCUAUGGUACAUUACUUACACUAAAGAUAAAAUACUACACAUAAUACAUGAUACUACUACAACUAUUAUGACUAUUGCUACUACUACUUCUACGACUACUGCUUCUACAACAACUAUUCUGCGGCUACUAUUUUUGUAUCUUAAUCUAGAUUUUGGAACAAUGAAAAGAAAAGCAUCUAAUAACUAAUAGUUUGAGUUUUUUUUAAAACAGAUUUCAGAUGUUGUUCCUCUUCCCCCUAUCCAAGGUGAUGUCUGUUUAUUGUUAAUGCUGGCUGUUGGGAGAUACAGUAUAUUGUGGUGUGUUAAGUCAUGUGAAGCUUCGGGCUCACUGCAGAUGAGGCAGGAGCUGCAUUGUCUUCACCCAGAUCAUGUUUCUAGCUUAUGCUACCUCCCAACUUUGUGACUGGUCCAAGUAUAAUACAAAACACUGAGUGACAAAUUGAACUUCAGGAUCAUUUAUUUAUACACCCAGAAACAAAUGAGCAUGCAUAAAUUAAGCAUUUUUCAAAGAUUUUUACAAAGAAAUUUUCUACCAACUAGAUCUAGAAAAGGCAAAAAUCAAGACAUUUGAAGCAGUCACUUUGGGCUUUAAGAUAUUAUGACGGGCAUUUUAUAGAGAAAACAAUAAUCGAUUAAUCAAGAAAUUAUCAGCAGAUUAAUCAAUAUCCAAAAUAAUAUAUUAUUAAUUGCAGUCCUGGUUUGAACCUGCCAGCACUGCUGAACUGAUUGACAGGCUAUUUUUUAAGUCCAUGAACUAACACUAUGAAGACAUGUUCAGCUCUGUACAUUCUUCCUUCUAUCUAAUUCUGUAUCAUACAUAUACUGAUUUAAAUAGUUUUUCUUUGGGUAAAUGAAUUUGUAAAAACAUUGUGACCAGCAAAUUAAUGUACACUGGUAACCUGGAAAUGUCAUGCUGUUGUAAUUACAGCACAUAAUUGUGCCUUUUAACUUCUAUUUCAAGCCAUGAAGGUAUGUGGGAUUUUUUUUCUUAGACUCUUAGACCUGUGACAGAAGUCAGUGGACUUGUUGAGUCCUAUGUUGACCCUCUCAGGCAGACCGUCUUUGAAGAGCUCAUCGGACUCCAGCCGUGGCCUUUACACACACGUUAAGUAUCCAUAAAGCCGGGGGAUUAACUGGUUGUGAGUGACUUAUUGUAGGAGCUUGUAGAGGGAUUUAAUCCGGAAUAUUCAAUCACUAAUAUUACAGUUACUAUAUUGGUACAAUGUUUUAAAUGCAAUAAAAUAGUAUGAGCAUUUAUAGAGUGCAAUUCACACUUUAACUUUGAAAAUAUUUAUUUCUGGUGAUCAGGACCAGGCAGCAGAUAAAUAACUGAGCAGACAAAAUGAUCAAAAAUUAGGACAACCUGAAACACAGGUUUAGUUUCCAGCAUUGGAUAUUAUUAUGUGCUAUUUAUUCUGCUGUUUGAGCCAAUAGACUACGUGCGCAAGCAACAGGAUGAUAACUGCAGCUCACUUAACGGCCACCGGUGUCACUAAUAAGAGGGAAUUUCUGAUUCUUACAUAUAGAACUUUUAAUAGCUAAACGUCUUAAUAAUACAUGAUAAAGAAAAUAAUAGAACACACAAAUUACUAGAUCUUUAAAUGAUAAUAUGACUAUAACUCAGUGGCAAUAGUAAUGUGAAGUACGUGAUUUGAGAUGAUACCCAAAAUGGAAGGACAUUCAAAUAGUCAGUAGGUGGCAGUGUUGUUAUAAGCUGAAAAAUGUUAUCCCUGAAUUUUAAUAUUCCACCAAUGGAUUAUUACACAGCUAUCAAAGUUAAAUCAUUAUUCUUGCAAUCUUAGGCUAAGCAACAUUAUCUGUUUAAAGUAAUUAUCAGGUCUUCAAUUAGCAUUGAAUUAAACUUUGGCUGAAAUAGGAGCUUUACCAGUGAGAAAUCACUUAGUAAUGCACUUCUAGGAUUUAUUGCAGUCUCUGUGGAGAUAAGCGAGGUCCAAAAGAGAAGUCUCUGUCCAUGUUGAACGUGGAGCUGUCUUGUCUUUUCUUUGGUCCAAAUGACCCAAAGGUCAUUUAAAUGCAUUUAGUCCAGUUGUUAAUUUUUAUUUUGUCAGUCAUGGUUUCUUAGGAAGGGUUUUUGAAAGCACCAGGGUUGGUCUGGCGAGUGUCACUGAUAAACCCCACUGGGGGAGUUGGAAAGGUUAGUUCAUCUCUUGGGUGAGACACUCACCUCUAUGUCUCUGGAAUUCGAAGAGGGUUCAGUGGAAUUAAAGAAAAGAAAGCAUAAUGUCCUGCAACAUUGUCGUUGAUAUAAUAAACAAAGGUUGUUCACUGUCACUCAAUAUCAUGCAGUUUAUACACAAACUCACCUUAAUCUCAGCCCAACACCAAUACAUCAUCUGCGCCGCCCAUUCUAUGCUACCAAAUACUAUUGCUGACUCCCUCCCCCUUUUCUCAUUUCAGAAAAUGAAGGUGGUGGCUGAAAAUGGAGCUUAGAGGAUUUAACUCUAAGCUCCAUUUUCAGCCACCACCUUCAUUUGAACCCUCAGCUUUUCCACCUGAUCACCGCAUCACAAGAAGCCAUCGUAAAGAGUCUUGCUCCUAAAACCCUCAUCAUAUUACUCAGGAUUGGGCGGGCAGCUCUAAGCUUUUCUUACCUCACACAGCGUACCAUUUACUUUCAUUGACAUCAUAUCAUUAAUCAGCUCUAUCACUUACGCCUAUUCAGUUCUCGAAAUGAGAAGAUCCUCCAUCCAGGUAUAUAUCAACAGGAUUAACUUCCUCAUCAACUGCUCUCCAGAGCUCCAGCCCUUUCCAUUUCUCACCCCCAUGCCAAUAUGCUAAUCAAAGGCCUACGAAAAGCGGAACCUCAACUUGAACCAAAACACUUACCCAAUGGCAGACCUCCUCAUCCAUUGAAUCCAAACCCUUUGCAUUGGAUACCUAUCCCCUUUCAUCAACCCAUCCCACCUAUCAAUGUCUCUUCAAGCAUUCUUUGGUUUUUGCAAUGCUCAGAGAUAAUUGCUACCACUUCCAUCUACGACCCAUCAUGGCACACAAGCCUCUCGAAUAUUUCCGUCCACUCUCCAGAUACCCUCACAUUUAAUCUCACAUGAAGCAAGACCGACUAGCUUGACCUCUUGCCUAAAUUCAUAUCCAAGCCAUUUUGAACCCAUCCAAGGAAAGACAAGGAAUCUCAGAGAACACCAUCAAAAUUCUCAGCCAUUGCAAGCUUACUGCAGCUACAUCCACAGCCACCGCAACAAAGCUAACGUUGGGGGAUGAUGAAGCCAAAGCUCACUGAGAUGUGCCCCCACUCUGAGUCUUGCUCCCUGGGUUUCUUGACAUUCUAGACACAUCAUGACACCAAUUCAUCACACUUGAUCCCCUUCAUCUCAAGGUCUUGUUAUUGAAUUGCUGUUAAAGUGAUUUAUAAGUGGGUCAGUAAGGUAUUGCUGCCAACUACAGUUACACAUAGGCCUAAAGCUUUAUUUUUUCUUGUUUUAUCCUUAAUGUAAAUUAAUCAUAGUUCAUGUGUUUGGCCCAGUGUGCACCGACAUGACUUCUUCUCCUUCUAUUAGUAAGGGAAACAAUCGAGGAACAACCAUAAAGGCUGGUAAUCUUCAUGAUUUUAUGUGAGAUGCAAGUUGUAGAGUGCUAGACUGCCAGCAUAUAACAUUGUUUGUUAGAAUUGACCUACAUGUACGCAAUCUUCUCACCAUCUGCAGGGAACCAGGGAGAAGGGGAUCUGUGAUGCAGCCUAGCUUAUUAAUGGUCUGAAACGGCUUCUUGGGGAUUAUAGAAUAAGUUAUGACUUCUUGUCCAGUGUGAACUUCUUUUACUUUUUCUCUCUACAGGUGAAGUUGCUCUCUGGUCUCUGGUAGUGUUGGCUGUUGAGAGAUACAUCGUUGUCUGUAAACCUAUGGGAAGCUUCAAGUUCACUGGAACUCACGCAUGAGCUGGAGUCCUUUUCACCUGGAUCAUGGCUUUUGCUUUUGCUGCUCCCCCACUGUUUGGCUGGUCCAGGUAAUGAGAUACCUUCUUACUUGCCACUUUCACUGGCUGGAUCUUCAUGAACAAGGGAGCUGCCUUCACCGCCCUGACCUCUGCAAUCCUUCUUUGCAAAAAGCUUAGCUCUGUGUCAUCUAUGUGCUGAUGAACAAACAGUUCCGUAACUGCAUGCUGAGCAGAAUGGGUGGCAUGGUGGAGGAUGAGACCUCAGUGUCCACAAGCAAGUCAAAAGUAUCCCAUGUGUCUUAAAUAUGAGGACUUCCAGAAAUCUAUGGACAUUUUCCUCACUGAUUGCUUCCAGAUUUUAAAAGAUCCCAUCAAAAAAAGUUAUGAACUUUUGCCAAAAAAUCAAUUUAUGGAUAUGAUGAAUGGACUCUGGACAAAACAAAAUCAGGAAUUUUAUCUCAUCUGUUAAUAUGUGUAAACAAAAAAGUUUAAAGAGAUAUCAAAAUGCAGUGCUGCGAAGGAUAUGCAUCCUGUUCAGCAUUUGCGUGUGUGAGCGUGCAAGAGCAUGAGUGUGAAUGAACUGUGACUCACGGUACAGCAUUUGAUGACACUCAAAACAACUCAACUCUCAAGGCAAACUUUAAACCUAAAAUGUGACAACACUUUCUGCUGCAAUGAAUGUGUAAUCACACGUGGGGUAUUUUCAUGUAAUUAUGUGCAGGAGCAUAUGUUUUACUGGCCUAUCAGUGGCAUCUUUUUUAUGUAUUUUAUGAAAAAAAAUCUAGGAUGGAGUAGAUAAUAAAUGCAUGCAUGAAAAGAUAUAUUUGUAUUUGUGUUUUCAUUUAAUGCUGAAAACUCUGAACUAUGCAAACUUGUUAGAUUGCCUACUGUUGUGCCUGAAGUAUAGAUUCAGAGUUGAGGUAGAAAACAUUUCAAAAGUGUAGGGGUCUGUUGUUGGCCCCACUGCUAUCUCUCUCUGGAAUGUAAAAGAAAAUUUAGGACUUUGUUUUGCUCCAAGAAGACUAAAAUUACUUUUUGCUUUCAAAUAAGGACUGUCACACUUGUCUAGUGUGUAUGCCUAGCUUUCCAGCAUUACUUUAUCUAUCUGUUGGCUCUCCUGUUACCUGUUACCCUGUCUGUUUCCUGGUCUGGAGAUUUUGCCUAGUCCCUUGGAUUUGUCUACCUGAUCUGCCUGUCUGCCUGGUUUGGACUAAGAAUUUUUGACUCUGCUCCUGUUUCUGAGUUCAUGCUUUUGGGUUCCUUGGCUCUGCGUCAUUACACCAUUGACAAUUCUUCUGCUCUAAUGAUCAAGAGUUUUGUGUCGUUUCUCUGAUUUUUACAUUAAAUCUUAGAGAAGUUUGAUUAUUUAUCUCAGGGUUCAACUAAUCUUCUAGUGGUAAAAUCAUCACACCUUACCAUCUUUCACCAUGGUAAGGUAAUCCAUUCAAAUUGCCACAAUACAUUUCAUUGCAUUCAUCCUUGUGAAUUGUUCAUUCAUUCAAUUAUUCACAACAUAUUUUGUUUGCUGUAAUCUUUAUUUCUCUUCAUGCUCACUAUGAAGAGAUUCCUUACUAAUGUGCUUCCAAUGUAAGCAAUGGGGGACAAAAUCCACAGUACUCUUUCUGUGCAAAAAUGCAUUCCAAGGUUUAUUUGGGAUCCACACA